rnacentral:lncRNA from 12 species
CAGCCUCUGAUUUCUUUGCUCACACUGUGGCUAUGCAGCUCGGAACAUAGUGCAGAAAGAAUGAGUAAAUACUAAUAAUCUGUUUACCUCGCCUUUUCUUUGCUUGCAUGUUUACAAUGCACUUCUCGCCCGCUCACAUGUUCCAAUCCGCCAUUUCUCUCUCUUCUGGAAGAAUUCACUGGUGCUGACCCAGGACUCAUUUUACAUUUUACGUCUUUUCUAAACUGAUGCCCCUUGGAACCCUGUAUAAAAGCUCACCUAAUACGGGCAAGGUGCGAACAAAGACUUCAGCCCAAGAUCCCCCUGAGUCAAUGUCACAGGAGUCUGACAUACCCAACUGGGAAAGGAGGCAGUCCAAAGAGCAAUGUCCCUCCCCAUGCCAGUACAACAGACCAGCACACAGCCUGCCGCCAUUUCAGGGACGUUGCUCUACUGAUGAAGAAGCUGGACCUGCAAGGGAUACCCCGCAGGCUCUGGAGAUCUGCUGGGCUUGCCAUCUCUGCUUAUCACCUCUGACGUGACCUUGGGCAAUUUACUGAGCCUCUCUGUGCCUCAGCUUUGUCAUCUCUAAGGUGGGCAUAGCAAGUAGUAGCUACCUUCUAUGUUUAAAAUGAGAAUUAAAUAAGUGAAUGUUAGAAUAAUACUAGAAUAAUAAUGGGCAUAAA